rnacentral:lncRNA from 10 species
CCCAGGAAGCGGCUCUGGGGACGAGUGUCUUGGUAACGCUUUUCCGCCCUAGGAUUCGUACUUUGGUGCCGUUUCCGAGCGUUCCGGUACCGGCUCCCAAGGUUCCCGUCUUCAGUGCAGGUUGCAGGCGGGAACCGGCCUCGUCCCAGCCCUGGGCCUGGGAGAGAGAAGGAGGCCGAAGAAAACCAACUUCGGCAACCUCCGGAGACAGGACGUUUAAAAAAGGCUAACUUGGCUGGGCGCUGAGGCUCACGCCUGUAAUCCCAGCACUUUGGGAGGCCGAGGCAGGAGGAUCACUUGAGCUCAGGAACCAGCCUGGGCAACAUGGCGAGACCCCAUGUCUACAAAAAAAAAAAAAAAAAAAUUAGCCAGUCAUGGUGGUGCGCGCCUGCAGUCCCAGCUACCCCGGAGGCCGACGCGGGAGGAUCGCUGGAGCCGAAAGGUCGAGGCUGCCGUGAGCCGAGGUUGCACCACUGCACUCCAGCCUGGGCGACAGCGCAAGACCCUGUCUAAAAAUAAAUUUAAAAAAAAUUGCGAGGCCUUCAUUCUAUGCUAGUACUGUACUAGGUGCUAAUUAUUAAGUAAAACCGACUGAACUCUUGCCCUCAUGGAGCUUACAGUUCAGUGGAGAAGACAUUACCUAAAGCAGUAUGACUAAAUAUAUAAUGACAUAUUGUAAUAACUUACAUAACAGUACAAUGAGAGGGUGGGGAGGGAUUAUUUAUGCUUUAAGAAGUCGGGAAUCCUGGAACGGAAUGACAUUAGACUGAGACACGGAAGAGCCGCAGGAUCUAUUGCUGGGGAAGAGCAUUCCAGACAGGGAGGAACUCGUGCCGAAUGAUCCCGCUGUGGACAGGGAAUUUAAUCUGAGCUUCGGUUUCCUCUUCUGUCAAAUGUCAUGCAAGAGUUACUUUCAGCCGUGGUCCAGGCACUGUGAAAAAUGCAGAAGCCACACUAGGUGCCCUCUCUCAGGAUUCCCAACCACCUUUACCAAGCAGAGAUGGUAUUCAUCCCACAUUUUUAAUGCUAGAUAUGCUCCCGCCCGGUGCUUCUCUAAUAAUGUUUUUUAAAAGGUUGAGAGCAGAAUUUUAAUAGGCAAAAGAAAGAGAAGAGCUCUCUGCUGCAGACAGGAGUCCUGGAGAAAUGGGUUGCCCUCUUUUUUCUUUUUCUUUUUUUGAGACAGUCUCUCACUGUCACCCAGGCUGGAAUUCAGUGGCGCAUUCGUACCUCGCUGCAGCCUCAACCUCCUAGGCUCAAUCGAUCCUCCCACCUCAGCCUCCCGAGUAGCUGGGACUAUAGAUAUUUAACCAUUUUUCUAUUGAGAUUUGGUCUUCUCCACCACCCACCACAGAUUUUUGUAAUUAGAGGUCAUUUUUCCAAACAAAUGAUUCUUAAGGUCCUGCUGUCUCUGAAUAUUAUUUUUAUAGAACAAGCAUAAGUAUAAUUGGAUCAAUCAUCUAACCUUUCAGAUCCUCAACUUAGUCUUCCAUUAAUGAGAGGAUUAAAUCCAUUAGUUAAAUGUUCUCUAAGAAUCAGUGUGUCUCCAACUUCAGUGUACAAACAGCGGGUCACCCAGGGAUCGCAGUGGGACGCAGACGCUGAUUCCGCAGUUGUGGACUUGGUGGAGGUGGGCGCUGUCUCAGUCCAUCUGGGCCGCUAUACAGAGUGCCACAGACAGAGUGGCUUACGGACAACAGAUGCUCAUUUCUCACUCUCUGGAGACUGGAAGCCCAAGAUCAAGGUGGCAGAAAAUGCCGUGUCUGAAGAGGAACUGUUUCCUUGUUCACAGCCUCUUCUCACUGUGUCCUUGCAGAAGGGCUGAGGGAGCUCUCCAGGGGCCUCCUUCAUAAGGGCACUCAUGCCAUCGUGGGACUCCACUCUCACGACCUCAUCACCACCCAAAGACCAUCACUUUGGGGGUUAGGAUUUAACAUGUGCACUUUGGGGGGACACACACAUUCAGUCCACAGCAGCUCCAAUAUGUUGCAUUUCUAAUUAGCUCACAGGCAAUGCUGAUGAUACUGGUCCAGGGACCACACUUCGAGUAGCAACAAACCAGAUAGCCACAAAGAGGAAUUAAUAGAUGUAGCAUUAAGGAAGAAAGAUUCCUUCCAGUGCCAAGGAAACUCAUCACAGUACCUCCAAUACCGUGUCAUCCUGGAGGGACCACAAGACCCUGGAUAGUUGGCCCAGGACAGAAUACUGCUGGGGGUUUGGAGGGUGGCAGUUAAAAAGCCAAGAUCUGUUUACCUGUUAAAAUAUAUAUUCUUGCCCUCUCCCUCUCCCUCUCCCUCUCCCUCUCCCCACGGUCUCCCUCUCCCUCUCUUUCCAUGGUCUCCCUCUGAUGCCUAGCCGAAGCUGGACUGUACUGCUGCCAUCUCGGCUCACUGCAACCCCCCUGCCUGAUUCUCCUGCCUCAGCCUGCCGAGCGCCUGCGAUUGCAGGCACGCACCGCCACGCCUGACUGGUUUUUGUAUUUUUUUGGUGGAGACGGGGUUUCGCUCUGUUGGCCGGGCUGGUCUCCAGCUCCUAGCCGCGAGUGAUCCGCCAGCCUCGGCCUCCCGAGGUGCCGGGAUUGCAGACGGAGUCUCGUUCACUCAGUGCUCAAUGGUGCCCAGGCUGGAGUGCAGUGGCGUGAUCUCGGCUCGCUACAACCACCUCCCAGCCGCCUGCCUUGGCCUCCCAAAGAGCCGAGAUUGCAGCCUCUGCCCGGCCACCACCCCGUCUGGGAAGUGAGGAGCGUCUCUGCUUGGCCGCCCAUCGUCUGCGAUGUGAGGAGCCCCUCUGCCUGGCUGCCCAGUCUGGAAAGUGAGGAGCAUCUCUGCCCGGCCACCAUCCCAUCUAGGAAGUGAGGAGCGCCUCUUCCCCGCCAUCCAGCCCAUCUAGGAAGUGAGGAGCGUCUCUGCCCAGCCGCCCAUCGUCUGAGAUGUGGGGAGCACCUCUGCCCCGCCGCCCCAUCUGGGAUGUGAGGAGCGCCUCUGCCCGGCCGCGACCCCGUCUGGGAGGUGAGGAGCGUCUCUGCCCGGCCGCCCCGUCUGAGAAGUGAGGAGACCCUCUGCCUGGCAACCGCCCCGUCUGAGAAGUGAGGAGCCCCUCCGUCCGGCAGCCACCCAGUCUGGGAAGUGAGGAGCGUCUCCGCCCGGCCAGCCGCCCCGUCAGGGAGGGAGGUGGGGGGUCAGCCCCCCGCCCGGCCAGCCGCCCCUUCUGGGAGGUGAGGGGCGCCUCUGCCCGGCCGCCCCUACUGGGAAGUGAGGAGCCCCUCUGGCCGGCCACCACCCCGUCUGGGAGGUGUACCCAACAGCUCAUUGAGAACGGGCCAUGAUGACAAUGGCGGUUUUGUGGAAUAGAAAGGGGGGAAAUGUGGGGAAAAGAUUGAGAAAUCGGAUGGUUGCCAUGUCUGUGUAGAAAGAAGUAGACAUGGGAGACUUUUCAUUUUGUUCUGUACUAAGA